rnacentral:rRNA from 1 species
UACGUAGGUGGCGAGCGUUAUCCGGAUUUACUGGGUGUAAAGGGUGUGUAGGCGGAUUUGCAAGUCAGAUGUGAAAACUAUCGGCUUAACUGAUAGACUGCAUUUGAAACUGCAGACCUUGAGAGUCGGAGAGGUAAGCGGAAUUCCCAGUGUAGCGGUGAAAUGCGUAGAUAUUGGGAGGAACACCAGUGGCGAAGGCGGCUUACUGGACGACCACUGACGCUGAGACACGAAAGCGUGGGGAGCAAAC